rnacentral:rRNA from 1 species
GACGAACGCUGGCGGCGUGCUUAACACAUGCAAGUCGAACGGAAAGGCCCUGCUUUUGUGGGGUGCUCGAGUGGCGAACGGGUGAGUAACACGUGAGUAACCUGCCCUUGACUUUGGGAUAACUUCAGGAAACUGGGGCUAAUACCGGAUAGGAGCUCCUGCUGCUUGGUGGGGGUGGGAAAGUUUCGGCGGUUGGGGAUGGACUGGCGGCUUCUCAGCUUGUUGGUGGGGUAGUGGCUUACCAAGGCUUUGACGGGUAGCCGGCCUGAGAGGGUGACCGGCCACAUUAGAACUGAGAUACGGCACGGACUACUACGGGAGGGAGCGGUGGAGAAUAUUGCACAAUGGGCGGAGGCAUGAUGCAGCAACGCCGCGUGCGGGAUAACAGCCUUCGGGUAGGAAACCAAUUUCGUCUGUGACGAAGCGUGAGUGACGGUAAUGGGUAAAGAAGCACCGGCUAACUACGUG